UACGUAGGGGGCUAGCGUUGUCCGGAUUUAUUGGGCGUAAAGAGCGUGUAGGCGGCCUGGUAGGUCUGCUGUGAAAACUCGAGGCUCAACCUCGAGAUGUCGGCGGAAACCAUCUGGCUAGAGUCCGGAAGAGGAGAGUGGAAUUCCUGGUGUAGCGGUGAAAUGCGCAGAUAUCAGGAGGAACACCGGUGGCGAAGGCGGAUCUCUGGGCCGUAACUGACGCUGAGGAGCGAAAGCAUGGGGAGCGAACAGG
rnacentral:rRNA from 1 species